GGAGAGAUGUCCGAGUGGUUUAAGGAGCGCGCCUGGAAAGUGCGUAUACGCCAAAAGCGUAUCCAGGGUUCGAAUCCCUGUCUCUCCG
rnacentral:tRNA from 1 species